CCUACGGGUGGCAGCAGUGAGGAAUAUUGGUCAAUGGCCGUAGGGCUGAACCAGCCAAGUAGCGUGAGGGAAGACUGCCCUAUGGGUUGUAAACCUCUGUUAUAAAGGAAUAAAGUGCGGCACGUGUGCCUUUUUGUAUGUACUUUAUGAAUAAGGAUCGGCUAACUCCGUGCCAGCAGCCGCGGUAAUCCGGAGGAUCCGAGCGUUAUCCGGAUUUAUUGGGUUUAAAGGGAGCGUAGAUGGGUUGUUAAGUCAGUUGUGAAAGGUUGCGGCUCAACCGUAAAAUUGCAAUUGAUACUGGCAGUCUUGAGUACAGUUGAGGUAGGCGGAAUUCGUGGUGUAGCGGUGAAAUGCUUAGAUAUCACGAAGAACUCCGAUUGCGAAGGCAGCUUACUAAACUGCCACUGACAUUGAUGCUCGAAAGUGUGGGUAUCAAACAGGAUUAGAUACCCUUGUAGUC
rnacentral:rRNA from 1 species